rnacentral:rRNA from 1 species
CACGAACGCUGGCGGCAGGCUUAACACAUGCAAGUCGAGCGCCCCGCAAGGGGAGCGGCAGACGGGUGAGUAACGCGUGGGAAUCUACCCAUCUCUACGGAAUAACGCAUGGAAACGUGUGCUAAUACCGUAUACGUCCUUCGGGAGAAAGAUUUAUCGGAGAUGGAUGGGCCCGCGUUGGAUUAGCUAGUUGGUGGGGUAAGGCCUACCAAGGCGACGAUCCAUAGCUGGUCUGAGAGGAUGAUCAGCCACACUGGGGCUGAGACACGCCCCAGACUCCUACGGUAGGCAGCAGGGGGGAAUAUGGGACAAUGGGCGCAAGCCUGAUCCAGCCAUGCCGCGUGAGGGAUGAAGGCCCUAGGGUUGUAAAGCUCUUUCACCGGUGAAGAUAAUGACGGUAACCGGAGAAGAAGCCCCGGCUAACUUCGUGCCAGCCGCCGCCGUAAUAC